rnacentral:lncRNA from 1 species
UUCGUACCACCAACCAAGUGAUGAAAGCAACUCACCAUUCAUUCUACCUACCAGAAGACGAGUGGUACAACUUGUACAUGUGAACUCCUUGCGUUCACAAAUAAUAAAAACCCCUCAAGCUUGACAACUCAACUAGGGGAGCACUUAUGCCCAAUAAGAGCUAUAGUCACCAACAAAGUUUUAUUUCAAGCCAACAACAACUUCAGUGCAUGGCAUACGAAGAUCAAGCUAUUCAGCCCUCUUGCAUCUGUUUCAGACAUUUCCCCUCUGUAACAAUUCAAACACUACAACUCGUAGAAAGCUUCACACUCUUAAUCAAGACAGUUUGAAGCAAAACCAAUUUAUGGUACCAACAAGAGCUUCAUCAAAGGAGUUCAACCACAAUUCUCAAAAUCUUCACACACUCUUGAUCAAGACAGUGUGAAGCAAAACCAAUUUAUAGUGCCAACAAGAGCUUCAUCAAUGGAGGGCAAACACAAUUCUCAAAAGCUUCACACACUCUUGAUCAAGACAGUGUGAAGCAAAACCAAUUUAUGGUGCCAACAAGAGCUUCAUCAAUGGAGGGUAACCACAAUUCUGAAAAGCUUUAUACACUCUUGAUCAAGACAGUGUGAAGCAAAACCAAUUUAUGGUGCCAACAAAAGCUUCAUCAAGGGAGUUCAACCACAAUUCUUAAAAGCUUCACGCACUCUUGAUCAAGACAGUGUGAAGCAAAACCAAUUUAUGGUGCCAACAAGAGCUUCAUUAAUGGAGGGCAACCACAAUUCUCAAAAGUUUCACACACUCUUGAUCAAGAUAGUGUGAAGCAAAACCAAUUUAUGGUGCCAACAAAAGCUUCAUCAAUGGAGUUCAACCACAAUUCUCAAAAGCUUCACACACUCUUGAUCAAGACAGUGUGAAGCAAAACCAAUUUAUGGUGCCAAUAAAAGCUUCAUCAAUAGAAGGCAACCACAAUUCUCAAAAGCUUCACACACUCUUGAUCAAUACAGUGUGAAGCAAAACCAAUUUAUGGUGCCAGCAAGAGCUUCAUCAAUGGAGGGUAACCACAAUUCUCAAAAGCUUCACACACUCUUGAUCAAGACAGUGUGAAACAAAACCAAUUUAUGGUGCCAACAAAAGCUUUAUCAAAGGAGUUCAACCACAAUUCUUAAAAGCUUCACGCACUCUUGAUCCAGACAGUGUGAAGCAAAACCAAUUUAUGGUGCCAACAAGAGCUUCAUUAAUGGAGGGCAACCACAAUUUUCAAAAGCUUUACACACUCUUGAUCAAGACAGUGUGAAACAAAACCAAUUUAUGGUGCCAACAAAAGCUUCAUCAAAGCAGUUCAACAACAAUUCUCAAAAGCUUCACACACUCUUGAUCAAGACAGUGUGAAGCAAAACCAAUUUAUGCUGCCAACAAAAACUUCAUCAAUGGAGGGCAACCACAAUUCUCAAAAUCUUCACACACUUUUGAUCAAGACAGUGUGAAGCAAAACCAAUUUAUGGUGCCAACAAAAGCUUCAUCAAAGGAGUUCCAACCACAAUUCUCAAAAGCUUCACACACUCUUGGUCAAAGACAGUGUGAAGCAAAACCAAUUUAUGGUGCCAACAAGAGCUUCAUCAAUGGAGGGCAACCACAAUUAUCAAAAGCUUCACACACUCUUGAUCAAGACAAUGUGAAGCAAAACCAAUUUAUGGUGCCAACAAAAGCUUCAUCAAUAGAGGGCAACUACAAUUCUCAAACCUUCGAGGCAAAUUCAAGACUGUUCGAAGCAAAUUCAAUUUAUAUGGUUCAUCCAAACCUUCGACUACUACAAGGUGUGG